GUGAACCUGCGGCAAGGCAUCAUUG
rnacentral:rRNA from 1 species